rnacentral:rRNA from 1 species
GGACGGGUGAGUAAUGUCUGGGAAACUGCCUGAUGGAGGGGGAUAACUACUGGAAACGGUGGCUAAUACCGCAUAACGUCGCAAGACCAAAGAGGGGGACCUUCGGGCCUCUUGCCAUCAGAUGUGCCCAGAUGGGAUUAGCUUGUUGGUGAGGUAACGGCUCACCAAGGCGACGAUCCCUAGCUGGUCUGAGAGGAUGACCAGCCACACUGGAACUGAGACACGGUCCAGACUCCUACGGGAGGCAGCAGUGGGGAAUAUUGCACAAUGGGCGCAAGCCUGAUGCAGCCAUGCCGCGUGUAUGAAGAAGGCCUUCGGGUUGUAAAGUACUUUCAGCGGGGAGGAAGGUGUUGUGGUUAAUAACCGCAGCAAUUGACGUUACCCGCAGAAGAAGCACCGGCUAACUCCGUGCCAGCAGCCGCGGUAAUACGGAGGGUGCAAGCGUUAAUCGGAAUUACUGGGCGUAAAGCGCACGCAGGCGGUCUGU